GUUGAAAAGAACUUUGAAGAGAGAGGUUCAAGAGUACGUGAAACCGUUCAGGGGUAAACCUGAGAAACCCAAAAGAUUCGAAUGGGGAGAUUCAGCGUUCAACGAUUUGUCUGGCUUCCGUGUGGCUCGCGAUGUUAAGGAGCUCGGUGUCGCGUUCGCGGCGUGGCAUCGUCGCGCUUGAUUACGCAGUUCGCUGCGGUAUGACCGGCAUCGUCGGCGUGCACUUCUCCCCUAGUAGGACGUCGCGACCCGUUUGGGCGUCGGCUUAAGGCAGCGAACGGUAGACUGUUGGGAGCCUUUCGGGGCUUUUUGGCAGACCGAUUCGAUCAAACUGGCCCGGCCGACUGCUCGGCGGUAUUGAACUUUAACCAAUGGUAUCGAGCCGCAUCGAAUGCGUUCGACUCGUCGGCAGGCUCGCCUCACUCGGCUUUUAACGGACCUAGUGCCGUAGCUGGGUGCUUGGUGUGGCUGUUUAGCCGGCGAUGAUCUCGAACUGGCUCCGUAUUACCUGUCGGCGACGC
rnacentral:rRNA from 1 species